CGAUAUCCAUUUCCAUCCCGCAAAAUGUACAACCGGAGUAGACAUACUAACAUGAAAACGAGAACAAACAAUCGAAGUUGUACAUGUUCUUAGGAUAUUCCUAACUUCUAACCCAUAUUUUAGAGCACCUUCGUGAAAGUAAAAUAAGUGCUUUCAGACUCAAAACACAACAAGGAAUUUAAUAUUUAAGAGAUCCUAUUCCUCUGAAAAGUGAUAACAAUGCAACAACGUAAACAACAUUUAUGACAUCCAGUUGUCAUGUAAUCGAUGCAAUAGAGAUGUAUUUGAGACGUAAUCGACAUAUAAUUAAAAUAUGAUCGACGUAGA